AGCAAGGCAUUUUUUUUUCAAAUCUACUG
rnacentral:piRNA from 1 species